GAUGUUGAGAUUUCUUGUAUUUGUUCAAUGCAUAAAGAAAUUCUACAAAAAAAAUCUGAAACGCAUUGGUUUUGUUAAUAACUUGAAAAGAACAGAGACUUGAACAAGAGAGAGAGACACGAGAUAUUGAAUGUGAAACUUCUUGUUUUGUUAAGUCAUUACACACACUUAUAUAUAAUCACAAGGUCGUAAUCUCUAAAACAAGACCAUUUUGUAUACAUUCCUCUUUGUAGUAUGCUGGAAUCAAGACUCACAGUCCGGAGGGAAGGAGAGUUGGGACAAGAAUUAAUGUCGUGCCCUCCACGAAACCAAAAAUUACCUCUAUGAAUAAUAACAAGUUACCUCUAUGAAUACUCAUAUCAAUCGCAAAUCCAUGCAAAACCCUAAAGAGAUGAUAAGAAAAGAUAAAUCAAAGAGAAGAAAGCGAUGAACAAUAAUGAUCGAUCACUUCUUGAUAUAUAUAUACAGAGAGAGGGGAAGCAAAACCCAAAACCUGAGCCGGUUUAGGGUUCCGAAGAGAUCCUACGGCUGUUAAUUGUUUAUGUGCAAGAACUCAACGGUGAAGAUGUAAUAACACAAUAAUAACAGCUUAAUUAAUAUGAAUUACUGAUCAGAAAAAAAAACUCAUACGCUGCUUCAAAAC
rnacentral:lncRNA from 1 species